rnacentral:rRNA from 1 species
AGAGUUUGAUCCUGGCUCAGAUUGAACGCUGGCGGCAUGCCUUACACAUGCAAGUCGAACGGUAACAGGGAGCUUGCUCUGCUGACGAGUGGCGAACGGGUGAGUAAUAUAUCGGAACGUGCCCUGGAGUGGGGGAUAACUAGUCGAAAGAUUAGCUAAUACCGCAUACGAUCUCAGGAUGAAAGUGGGGGAUUCGCAAGGACCUCAUGCUCGUGGAGCGGCCGAUAUCUGAUUAGCUAGUUGGUAGGGUAAAAGCCUACCAAGGCAUCGAUCAGUAGCUGGUCUGAGAGGACGACCAGCCACACUGGGACUGAGACACGGCCCAUACUCCUACGGGAGGCAGCAGUGGGGAAUUUUGGACAAUGGGCGCAAGCCUGAUCCAGCAAUGCCGCGUGAGUGAAGAAGGCCUUCGGGUUGUAAAGCUCUUUUGUCAGGGAAGAAACGGUUUGGCUUAAUACGCUGAGCUAAUGACGGUACCUGAAGAAUAAGCACCGGCUAACUACGUGCCAGCAGCCGCGGUAAUACGUAGGGUGCAAGCGUUAAUCGGAAUUACUGGGCGUAAAGCGUGCGCAGGCGGUUAUGUAAGACAGAUGUGAAAUGCCCGGGCUUAACCUGGGAACUGCAUUUGUGACUGCACGGCUAGAGUGUGUCAGAGGGGGGUAGAAUUCCACGUGUAGCAGUGAAAUGCGUAGAUAUGUGGAGGAAUACCGAUGGCGAAGGCAGCCCCCUGGGAUAACACUGACGCUCAUGCACGAAAGCGUGGGGAGCAAACAGGAUUAGAUACCCUGGUAGUCCACGCCCUAAACGAUGUCUACUAGUUGUCGGGUCUUAAUUGACUUGGUAACGCAGCUAACGCGUGAAGUAGACCGCCUGGGGAGUACGGUCGCAAGAUUAAAACUCAAAGGAAUUGACGGGGACCCGCACAAGCGGUGGAUGAUGUGGAUUAAUUCGAUGCAACGCGAAAAACCUUACCUACCCUUGACAUGUCAGAGAGCUCGAAGAGAUUUGAGUGUGCUCGAAAGAGAAUCUGAACACAGGUGCUGCAUGGCUGUCGUCAGCUCGUGUCGUGAGAUGUUGGGUUAAGUCCCGCAACGAGCGCAACCCUUGUCAUUAGUUGCUACGAAAGGGCACUCUAAUGAGACUGCCGGUGACAAACCGGAGGAAGGUGGGGAUGACGUCAAGUCCUCAUGGCCCUUAUGGGUAGGGCUUCACACGUCAUACAAUGGUACAUACAGAGGGCUGCCAACCCGCGAGGGGGAGCUAAUCCCAGAAAGUGUAUCGUAGUCCGGAUUGGAGUCUGCAACUCGACUCCAUGAAGUUGGAAUCGCUAGUAAUCGCGGAUCAGCAUGUCGCGGUGAAUACGUUCCCGGGUCUUGUACACACCGCCCGUCACACCAUAGGAGCGGGUUUUACCAGAAGUAGGUAGCCUAACCGCAAGGAGGGCGCUUACCACGGUAGGAUUCGUGACUGGGGUGAAGUCGUAACAAGGUA